AUUUCUCCUUCGCACUUCCACUAGCUGAGUAACAGGUAUUAGAUAGUCGGGAAACUCGACUAUAGCGUUCUCUCUUGUUUUGAUUUUUUUCAUUGAACUAUUUUUCUAGCCAAUUUCUAUCGAUAUGCGAAAAAGAAUGUAUAACUUUUACUUUCACACUCCCACUAGGUGUUUUCCACAGCUGUUCAACCCAAAUGUUGUUAAGCUCAUGAUGCAACUAAAAGAGAUUUGGAGCAAUUUGAAUCACUCUAACGCCCACUCGUAAAAAAAAGAAAGUAUAAAGAAUAUCCUAAGCGAUGAGAACUCGACGUGUUGAAUCCUGGGUGUUGGUAGACAUGCUAAUGGAAUGGCAUUAUACAUAUAAUUAAAUAAUCGCAAUACUCAUAUGUAAAAAAAAUAUAAUUUUAUUUUACUGAA